UUAAUAGCCAGAAAAUACAUGAACUUUCAUCAUAUUUGCAUAUUGCACAUGACCUUCAAAAAUAGCCCCACAAUACACCACCUUUUAAUUUAAUUGCAAAUUGCACCGCGUUGACUAUCAACUUGAUCGGUGGUGAUGUGGCUGUCGGAUUUUGUUGACGUGGGCGAUUUUCUGAUGUAGGAAUACGACAUCGUUUUGUUGUUACAUUACAACAUCCAAAACGACGUCGUUUUGUGAGUAUAAUUAAAUAAAAAUAAAAAAGGAAGAAGAAAUCUGGGUCUUCGUCUUCCGAGCAAUUGCCGACUCAUCGAGAUCCAUCCACCUUCAUCUUCCAUCUCCGACAUCGGCAAACGAAGCGCCACCGGGCUCACGGUAGACUUGGCUAAUUCCACCAUUUCUUUAUCCCCUCUCUACCAUGUAUAGAUGCUUGUCUCACUAGAUUUUUCCAACUUGGGCGCUCUUAGUUUUGAUGUCUUGAAUCAGACGGUCCAAGUGAGAGUAGGAAGAUCCUCCUUCACUCAGAGAUGCUUUAGCUGAAUUCGACUUGCCGAGAUCCAUCCGCUACCUCACCACCAUCCUCCAUCCUCCAUCUCCGCCCAUUUCCCCGAACAAUGGCUGGCCAAUUUGUGCAUUAGGGCUUUCGUGAGAUUUGGAACUGUAAUCAGAAAUUUUGCAAAUCUGGCAAACGAAAUCAGGGCUGCCACUAAUUUGUCCAGACUCGCCGCGCCGGAUCUUAGAAGGAGUGCGGCGGACCGACGCUCCAGUCAAAAAACAAAGACCAAAAUCCCCAAUCGAUUUCUCAUCUCCAUCGACUUGGGCGCCGUUGUACAAAUCGAUGGCGGAUUCUUGCUGCUGGGUUUCUCAGAGGGAAGGCGGGACGAUGGCGGAUUCUUACUGUUGGGGUUUCUCAGAUGGAGGGUGCGGCGAUGGCGGAGGCCUUGGAGGCACUUGAUAUGUGUUAGGGGGUGGCGCCGAAUUCAGCGAGAAGGGAGAGGAGCUGGGGUCGGGAUGAGGCGGCAGAGGGGUUCUUCCAAAAAAUUUCAGUGCUGGGAAGAAGGACUCUGCAAUUUUAUUUUAUUUUAUUACUUUUUUUUAAGAAAAUUCUUCAAAAUAUCAAGAAAGAAGACAACUUAAUUUUUAUUCAAAACGACGUCGUUUUGAACACGUGUGUUGCCAGCGUGUUAAAAAAGUCAUGUGUCAUGCCAUGUAAUCUUUAAUGUUGUCCACGUCAUCGCCGAUCAAACUUAAGAGCUGCUGGAACA